CAGUCGCCGCGGUAAUACGAGGGGGGCAAGCGUUGUUCGGAAUUAUUGGGCGUAAAGGGCGCGUAGGCGGUUUGGCAAGUUUGGUGUGAAAUCUUCGGGCUCAACUCGAAGUCUGCAUCGAAAACUGCCGGGCUUGAGUAUGGGAGAGGUGAGUGGAAUUUCCGGUGUAGCGGUGAAAUGCGUAGAUAUCGGAAGGAACACCUGUGGCGAAAGCGGGCUCCUGGACCCCACCUGACGCUGAGACGCGAAAGCCAGGGGAGCGAACGGGAUUAGAUACCCAGUAGUCCCUGUCUCUUAUACA
rnacentral:rRNA from 1 species